GCGUCAGUAGUGCAACGGCUUAGAGCGCGUGCUCUCAGAUAGGGUGAGAUAUGGGUUCGAGUCCCGCCUGACGCG